GACGAACGCUGGCGGCGUGCUUAACACAUGCAAGUCGAACGGUAAGGCCCUUCGGGGUACACGAGUGGCGAACGGGUGAGUAACACGUGGGUGAUCUGCCCUGCACUUCGGGAUAAGCCUGGGAAACUGGGUCUAAUACCGGAUAGGACCACUGCCUGCAUGGGUGGCGGUGGAAAGCUUUUGCGGUGAGGGAUGGGCCCGCGGCCUAUCAGCUUGUUGGUGGGGUGAUGGCCUACCAAGGCGACGACGGGUAGCCGGCCUGAGAGGGUGACCGGCCACACUGGGACUGAGAGACGGCCCAGACUCCUACGGGAGGCAGCAGUGGGGAAUAUUGCACAAUGGGCGCAAGCCUGAUGCAGCGACGCCGCGUGAGGGAUGACGGCCUUCGGGUUGUAAACCUCUUUCAGCACAGACGAAGCGCAAGUGACGGUAGGUGCAGAAGAAGGACCGGCCAACUACGUGCCAGCCGCCGCGGUAA
rnacentral:rRNA from 1 species